rnacentral:misc_RNA from 1 species
CACCAAAGGCAGCAGCAAUUGCAGCUGCAUUGGUCAUCUAAUCAAAAGAUGAACAAAUAAAUCAAACAGUAUCAGAAUUUAAAAAGUGUAUAUUUAAGACAAUUUUAGAAACUAAGGAAGCUUUGAACAAUUAUCUGCAUGAGGGCCAAUCACAAACAAUCCAACUAUUUUACAUGAAAAUUCUAAGCAGUAUUCGUGUAAUCGAUAAUGUAUAACAUAAAAACAAGAUUCCACUAAAAAUGGAGAAGUCUGAGGCAUCAUUUCAAGCCUUGCCAUUUCCUUUCUUUCAUAUUCCAUGUUGAGAAACAAAGAAGGCUGAAGAUGGACAACAACAAAACAACUUGUAUUUGGCAAAAUGUUUCUAUUUAAAAUUUUGGAAUAUGGUCCACAAAUCUUGGGGAAAUAUGUUUCCACUUACUCCAGGAAUCACUCCAAAAAAUAUAGGGAGAAAUGCAACAAGGAAAAUGGAUGUGUAUGUGUAUAAUUUCCACCGACCUAUGUCAGUAUACAAAUGAGUCUUGAUUCCAUGUCCUAAUCUAAAUAAUAACAUAACAGAAUAGUUGAAAGCAGUUAUAAAAUCAUUGUAAAUGCAUACACAUGUUAAUACUCAACAGAAAUGGAGACAAAGAAAAGGCAAGAAAGUGAUAAUGGCCAGCACACAUAUUGUUUAUGAUAACUUGUACCAUGACCGCAGCAAUACCCACCUGUGGAUAUGCAACUGCAACAAAGAAAAACAAAGAAGAGAGUCAGUUAAUGUUCAAGCAAGAUAUUAAAAGAACAAGAUAAUAGCAGCAGAUCACUGUAUAGCUCCCAAUUUCAACACCUGCCCCAGCCUCAGGAGCUUGAAGGGCAUUCAUAUUUCGUA